AAGCAGUUCUCAAAAACUGACCAACUGUGCAAGAAGGAGAAAAGUGAGGAAAGCCACCAACUCUGAAGAAGUGAUAGGCAUCUGUGGCUGUAAUUGUAGAAAUUGUGCACAGUGUAACUUUUAACUGUUGCAUCAACCUGAUAUACAGCCUCAUGGUGUCUGCUCCACUUCACUAUGAGGCUGAGUGCUGGUGCAACAGACAAAAGUUGCACUGUGCACAGUUUCUCCAAUCACAGCCACAGAAGCCCAUCACUUCUUCAGAGUUGUUUUGAUGGCUUCCCUCACUAGUUCAUCAGAGUGCCAGUAAUCAACGUAAUAUCGCUCACUACUGCGUGCGGUAAAUGGCAUUUCUCAUCAAAAUUGAACAUAAUAAAUGUUCCCCCAUACAUUGGACUGUGUUGUCUUGUAGUUUUAUAUCUUUUUUGUCAUGGCUUUGUUUGUCCCGAUACCGGAAUCGCGCACCGCGCAUGUGUACUUGUAGUGUUGAACAGGCUUAUUGUGUCCCAGCAUACAUUUUACAUCAGGAGUUUUUGUUUCACAUUAUGUAAGCAUUUUGUUUUGUUGCCAAAAAUAUUUGGAUGACACAAAAUUGGUUUUCAUUUAUUUUGUGACCAUAUUUUAAAAGGUUUACAUCAAAUAUAGAGGCGCCAGUAAUUCUGACCAUGACUUCAACAAUUAUUUGAAUCAAAUUUCUUAUUUUUCCAUCAUGUCUUUAAAGAUAAAUCUUCGGUACACAUCAAGUAAGGAUUCAACAUAUUCUGCAUUGGUUUGCAUAUAAAAAUUACUUGUUCAUAUUUCUGCACUGGAGUAAUUAACUCAUGAACAAACUCAAACAACUUGUCUGUGUUAAUGUAUCACAUGUACACUUAAAAACCUUGUUGUCGUCAUUGUGUUCCCUUUGUUACAGUUGUUGCUAAUGGCAUGUUUUUAAAAGUGAAUCACGGCUGAAUGUGACCACGUAGAAGGUUGUAAAGUGUGACUCCUGCAACAUCUCUAUUCUGAAAAAAGCCUGUCAAAAGUCUUCCCCCUGAUGCUAAAUACUGUGAACUCACUUUUUCAGGACUGUUUGCAAAAAUAAAUAAAAUCAUAACCCAAUAUUGAUAAAAUUAAUUAGAAGGUCCACAACCUUAAACUGAUUCAUGAAUUUCAACAUCCUAAAGCAUGACAUUAUUAGAUAACACAAAGUGAUUAGCAAAAAAAAAAAAAAAAAUGCAUUAAAAUAUUUAGAAUAUU